UUCGUCAUCAACAAAGCGUCGUCGUCGCUAGUUACGACUGGAAAAAAAAACUUCACCGCCCGAAGACAUGAUUGCUUCGAUGCAUCAUGCGUGCUCUUCGCGAAGAUCAGAAAACCAUUCGCACGAGCAGCUUCGUGAACGGCACCCGCUGCACGGCAUUCUAGCUAACAUGGUACCCUGGUAUCUGCUAAAUAAAAAUGGUCAUGUUUUUGCCAUUUUAUCGCCAAUUCUAGCAAUCUUGGGCUAAUUCGAUUCAAAAAAUCACCUUCUACUGAGUGGGGGAGCCGGAGCGGUCACCGAGGAUUGCGGAAAAUCCGGAUUUCGGCGUAGAAUUUUAAUGCCUGAUGCCAGGUCUUUCCCAACCAGAUUAACCGCAACGCAACUGUCAAAAUGCACUCGCAACGAAGAGGACGAUGAACGAAUGGAAGUCGCAUGUGGUCUGCACAAAUGAUCAACUUACUUCCUCGUUCACUGCUCCCAUUGACUUGCUAGAGUGUUCUUCGCGAAGCAUAAAUGAAAAAACGAAUGCUUGUGAAUAAUGGAUCGCGAAGAUGCGAAAAUGAAUGCUCGCGAGGAAGAUCCAACGCAACAUUGCGUUUUCCCUUCCCAUUCACCCGGCGGUGAGCCUGCAGUGACUGUGUAUAUGUGUGCCUCUGUUCCGUCGGAGUCGGCGUAGGCGUGCAGCUGGAGAACGUGUUGAAACGUGUUUGGCGUCGUUUCCUCGGUCGGCACUCACUCGGUCGAGACGAGUGGUGAAAAUCGUUUCUGCUGCGACAAAGUGAAGUUGCGGCGGCGGUGCUGUUGGCGGUCCCCCUUACCGCAUAUCACGAUACCCAGGAGUGUUCCCGGGAGUUAUUCAGGAAUUAAUUUCCAUUUUUUAAUCGGCGGCACUCCUGGUGUAUCAAUGUCGGUGAGCGAGCGACAGGGCCCACACAGCAACUAGAGUUCAAGAGCAAAUUUUCAAUCCGACCUAAGUAACAAAAUAAACAAAAAUUAGGUUCUUGCAUAUAUUAAUACCUAGUAAACUACUUUACGCUGUGUAGCAAGAUCACAAGUCAAAAAUAGUUAAAAACUUUCGAAAUUAAAAAAAAUCAAACUGACUUAAGUAACAAAGUGAGCACUUUUCAUAUGUGUCGCUUUGUCGGUACAAUGACUCAUGUAACGCACAUAACUCACGACUGACGUAAGUACGCUGUCAAAACGACCUAAGUAACAAAAUAUGUAAACAGGUCUCAAAAAGUGGUUACGUCGAUAAAUAAAACAUCGGAAUAUCAUCGGGGAAACCCAAUCCCGUUGGAUUUUAGUAGUGCUACCAUAAACUAGGGGUUACUAAGGAACUCCCAGCCCGAAAAGCGGCGCUUCCGGCAAUAAUUCAGUACUGCGAUCUUGAUUGCGAUUGAUAAGCUCAAGUGGAAUGAUAGUUCCACAUCAACUACAUCAAGCUGGAAUUGCUAUACAAUAAUCCGGAGACUUUUCUCGGCGCAGUAAGACCAGUGGUCUGAGAUCACCUGCCAAGCAGCGGUUCCAUCGAUUCGGCCUCGUUAGCUGCAACGGCAUCUCUGGCAACAUAUUUUUUUUCUCAGCCGCUUCCAUCGUAGCAGUAACACAGCAAGAACUUAGCUGACCAUACAGAACAAAAAGCGCGUCAGCAGUAGCUCUUUCUCGUAGCGUCUUCAACUUCUAGGACCAUGUGUAUGAGAGGACGGAACAAGGAUCAGUCAGCGACGACUGCUGAAGACGACCUGAGAUCGAACGAACCGUCUGAUCAUUCCUCCAGCAUGGAACCAACCCCAACGGUAGGCAGGAAACGUUAGAACCUCCAUGUCGAACAAUUCCCCUUCGAUUCCAAAAAUCAUCCGAAGCGGGAGAAACCUGCUCCAAAGAAGCAAGUUCCCCAACGAAUGGUGGCCCAGCAGCAGGCGAUUUUGCAGCAACAGCGACAUCACAAGGCGCAGAUUUUGGUCCAGCAGUAAGCCCAAUAACAGCAGUUCCAUCAGCAGCAUCAGCAAAUGUAACAAUCGUCGCACCGCCAGCAGCAUCAACACCUGGAAGACCAUCU